CGUGGUGCCUCAUGUGCUCUCCAGGGCACCUCCUGCCUGGGUGGCAGCCUGGCUUUGGGAAUGUGCUCACUGAAGGUCGUGAUGAACCACAGAAAACAGACUGGAUAUCAUACAGGGGAGAUUUUAAAUCCACCGGCCACUUCUUUGAAAUGGCAUUCAAACAUUGUCACAGCAGACUUUGUUCUUUUGUUUCAUUGCUGAUUUGGUAUGUCCUACUGGCAACUGAAAAGCAUCCAUGGGGAUUGAGUAAUGAAGACAAGGAUUUCAGAGCAGCCUGGCACUGAACAUCUCUUAAAGGCUGGUGAUGACGAGGAGCAGCCAGCCAAUGUUUUGCUCUGAUAUUGCAAGAUUUGUCGGGGAAUAUUUUUCGUUGCAAAAACAAAUGGCAGUUGACUGACUUUGACGAAUCCAUCUUAUUUUGCAAAAUUUUGUUCUCAAGGUGUCCAAAACUCAGUGCUCAUGGGCAGUGAAAUCCAUCCUUGUGCUGUAGGGUCAGCACAAGAGCUGUAGAUCAGUUUACUCCUUUAGAGGGCUGUAGAUUAGAUCUGUAUUUCUGUGCACAGAUUAGGUCUGUAUUUCAUACAUUCUGUAUUUUUUGUAGCAGGUCACUGCAAAUCCCAAAACAGUUGAUCACCCAGGGGUUAAGUACUCAUAUAAUUAGACAGAUAGCUAAACCUUUUAUGUUUAUACAAGGAUCUUUAAAAACCUGCUUAGCAAGAUCAGUUUUUUCCUUCAUAUUUCUACAAUAUGCUAACAUUGUUGCUGGUUUAAGUCUUAAUUUAAAGUAUUAGAAAAACAGCUUUUCUUACAGUGAUUUAAUAAUUUCUUUUCUGAACAAGAGGCCCUGUUUCAUCCCUGUACUGAAUGCUUCAGCACAUGUCUAAUCCCUCUGAAUUCAAGGGUAUAUUAAAAAGCUCUAUUGAAUCCAGAGCUCUGUGAGAAACUGGGAAAGAAUGCAACUCCAGCUAUCCAAAAUAUCUGAACUCUUCAAAAUACUCACUGCAAGUAUUAUCUAAGUGUUUGUGUCUGAUCUUUUUUUUCUCCUCAACUUACACAUGUAUCAUUAUCUAAAUGUAUCAGAAGCACCUCAGAUAUAGGGGGCUACCUUAUGUUUGAAUUUAAUUAAAUAAGAAUAUACAAAAUAAAAGAUACAGAGUUUAGUCCA
rnacentral:lncRNA from 1 species